UACAGAGGGGGCAAGCGUUGUUCGGAAUUACUGGGCGUAAAGGGCGCGUAGGCGGCCUUCUAAGUCGAACGUGAAAUCCCUGGGCUCAACCCAGGAACUGCGUCCGAUACUGGAAGGCUUGAAUCCGGGAGAGGGAUGCGGAAUUCCAGGUGUAGCGGUGAAAUGCGUAGAUAUCAAGCGGAACACCGGUGGCGAAGGCGGCCUUCUGGACAGUGACUGACGCUGAGACGCGAAAGCGUGGGGAUCAAACAGG
rnacentral:rRNA from 1 species